UACGAAGGGGCUAGCGUUGCUCGGAAUCACUGGGCGUAAAGGGUGCGUAGGCGGGUCUUUAAGUCAGGGGUGAAAUCCUGGAGCUCAACUCCAGAACUGCCUUUGAUACUGAGGAUCUUGAGUUCGGGAGAGGUGAGUGGAACUGCGAGUGUAGAGGUGAAAUUCGUAGAUAUUCGCAAGAACACCAGUGGCGAAGGCGGCUCACUGGCCCGAUACUGACGCUGAGGCACGA
rnacentral:rRNA from 1 species